rnacentral:rRNA from 1 species
AGCGAACGCUGGCGGCAGGCCUAACACAUGCAAGUCGAGCGGCCGUAGCAAUACGGCAGCGGCAGACGGGAGAGUAACACGUGGGAACGCGCCCUUCGGUUCGGAAUAACUCAGGGAAACUUGGGCUAAUACCGGAUACGCCCUUACGGGGAAAGAUUUAUUGCCGAAGGAACGGCCCGCGUCCGAUUAGCUUGUUGGUGAGGUAACGGCUCACCAGGGCGACGAUCGGUAGCUGGUCUGGGAGGAUGACCAGCCUCACUGGGACUGAGACACGGCCCAGACUCCUACGGGAGGCAGCAGGGGGGAAUAUUGGACAAUGGGCGCAAGCCUGAUCCAGCCAUGCCGCGUGGGUGAUGAAGGCCCUAGGGUUGUAAAGCCCUUUCGGCGGGGAAGAUAAUGACGGUACCCGCAGAAGAAGCCCCGGCUAACUUCGUGCCAGCCGCCGCCGUAA